AGUUUCCUUUUCUACCCCUGCACCGACAGGCCCCGUCGUCGCCCACUCGCCCACUCGCUCCCACUCUCAACCUCUCGCCCGCAUCCCCCUCUCCCCGUCUCUCACCUCCCUCGCCGGCGCCCGUCCGCGUCGCCGGCCCCCACCCGCGUCGCCGGCGCCCGCGUGCGUCGCCGCACUCUUCCUCAAGCUUCGUCGCCUCUUCCGCUCUCUCCAACAGAAGUGCCGCAUCAAGGUCGAGUUGAAAGGUCGUAUUUUUCCUCCUCCCACGGCCGGAUCUGCACCGGCGGUGGUCGAUUUUUGGAGCAGAGGAAAAGGAAGGAGUGGUGUACCCGCCUAUUCUUGGGAAUUCACUGUUCUUGAUGUCAUUUCUAACCACACCUCCGUCAGAAGUCUGCCCCGUGGGCAGCGACUGAGGUCGGGCCGCCGCGUGCGCCCUGCCACCGUCCGCGCCGUGGCGGCGAGUGAGGCCAGGCCGCCGCGCACCCUGCCACCGUCCGGGCCUUCGUCUUCCACGGCGAAUCAACCGCACCGCCGGCCACCCCUUCUUCCAGCUCCAAGAUGUGGAGGCGACUGAGGCUGUCCGGGUCGUCGCGUUAGCUGGCCCAGGAAAUACAGUGCGGCGCCAUGGAUGUUCCGCUCAUCGCCGCAAUCGGCCAGGUGGGGACAUGUUGGCUCGCUCCGCCCAGCUCAUCGGCGGCCCCCGGCGACCCCAGCUAGCAUGCUGCUCCGAGGCCCCUCAUUGACCCCCGUGGAGGCAGCGAGCGUGCUGAAGCUCAGGCUGGAGGAGGACAUCGACUGCGUCAUGAACCCUCUCCUCUUCGGCUCUCCUUCAUUCCCGUCGGCGGAGGCAAAGGCUCAGACCUGGUCUUCCUCGAAUCCGCAGCUACGAGCCUCCUCGAGCGGCCCAAGUACGGCAUGCUCCCGGAUUUGAUGAUCGACGCCCAUGCCCACCUCGCCUGCGACUGGUCACUGGCUAUAGCUGUUGAGGAGUUGGAGAGGACAAAAUUAUAUGGAGAGCAAUUGCAUAUAUUCAGAAAAGCCUUCCUGUUUUAUAACAUAGGUGAAUCCUUUCUUUCACAUAUAAGUGUGC